rnacentral:SRP_RNA from 14 species
GGCUUGUGGCGCCCCUAUUCCCCGGGCUGCCCUUUCCCGGCUGGGAGUUGGAGCAUGUGUGCGUCGCGGAC